AAGUGCUGGGAUUACAGGCGUGAGCCACGGCGGCCGGCCGUAGGCAAACUCUUCGUCUGUGCUGCUUUGUUUUGCUUAUCUAGGAGUGAGGGUUUCUGUGUCUGUUCCCAGACAUCUUCUUGCAGCUGCAGGUAUCGCCCCCACCUCAUCCCAGAGUCCGCUUUUAGCUUCCCUAUCUUAGUGUGCCUAAAGGGAAAGGAAUGUGCUUAUUAAGGCCCACUGUUUUUACUGGGGCCCAUUGUAUGAGUGUGAAGUUUGGUGAUUACCCAGGAGACUCUCCGACUCUUGUGCCCAACCUGUUUAUCUGUGUUUUUACAGCCUGCUCUUUCAGGCUGUUCUUUGUUAGAAGAAAAGUGAUUUCUUUGAACUGCAUGAGGUUAGAAAAUUUCUUAGCUGCUUUUUGUUAGAAGGACAGUUUUCUGCCGGGGACUCUCUUUACCCUGUCUACCUAAUAAUUUCUUUCUGUCUCCUAUAAGUAUUUCCUGCCUCAGGAAUGGAAUCACUAACUGCCUUUCGGGGAAUUGGGCGACGACUUCUGGCUACUUCCUGCUGGAGAGGGGCGUGGUAUGGGAACAGCAGCUAGGGCUCAUCCUGGGGUUGAUUUAAGGGUCCCUGGUAGAAAAGCCUCAUUUUUGGCCUCAUUUUAUUUUUGGCCUCAUUUGCAGCACCAUUUAAAGCUUGAUGGUUUCCAGAUGCUCCAGGGGCCCUCUGCAGCACCCGAAAGCUAAGGGAUUAGGAAAGACAAGCUUGAGACUAAAGUUUGAUUUGGGAAACCUGUUAAAUAUGUUUAGAAUUUAAAACACUUGAUAUUAUGA
rnacentral:lncRNA from 1 species